rnacentral:rRNA from 1 species
AGCGGCGGACGGGUGAGUAACACGUAAGGAACCUGCCUCAAGGAUUGGGAUAACUCCGAGAAAUCGGAGCUAAUACCGGAUAGUUCAUCGGACCGCAUGGUCCGUUGAUGAAAGGCGCUCCGGCGUCACCUUGAGAUGGCCUUGCGGUGCAUUAGCUAGUUGGUGGGGUAACGGCCCACCAAGGCGACGAUGCAUAGCCGACCUGAGAGGGUGAUCGGCCACACUGGGACUGAGACACGGCCCAGACUCCUACGGGAGGCAGCAGUAGGGAAUCUUCCACAAUGGACGAAAGUCUGAUGGAGCAACGCCGCGUGAGUGAUGAAGGUUUUCGGAUCGUAAAACCCUGUUGUAAGGGAAGAACACGUACGAGAGGGAAUGCUCGUACCUUGACGGUACCUUACGAGAAAGCCACGGCUAACUACGUGCCAGCAGCCGCGGUAAUACGUAGGUGGCAAGCGUUGUCCGGAAUUAUUGGGCGUAAAGCGCGCGCAGGCGGCCUUUUAAGUCUGAUGUGAAAGCCCCCGGCUCAACCGGGGAGGGCCAUUGGAAACUGGAAGGCUUGAGUACAGAAGAGAAGAGUGGAAUUCCACGUGUAGCGGUGAAAUGCGUAGAGAUGUGGAGGAACACCAGUGGCGAAGGCGACUCUUUGGUCUGUAACUGACGCUGAGGCGCGAAAGCGUGGGGAGCAAACAGGAUUAGA